rnacentral:rRNA from 1 species
GAUGAACGCUGGCGGCGUGCCUAACACAUGCAAGUCGAGCGAGAAGGUGAUGACUGAUUCUUCGGAUGAAGGAUUCACUGGAGAGCGGCGGACGGGUGAGUAACGCGUGGGUAAUCUGCCUUGUGGAGGGGGAUAACAUUCUGAAAAGAAUGCUAAUACCGCAUAAGCAUACGAGAUCGCAUGAUCAAGUGUGAAAAACUCCGGUGCCACAAGAUGAGCCCGCGUAAGAUUAGCUAGUUGGUAAGGUAAUGGCUUACCAAGGCGACGAUCUUUAGCCGACCUGAGAGGGUGAUCGGCCACAUUGGGGACUGAGACACGGCCCAAAACUCCUACGGGAGGCAGCAGUGGGGAAUUUUCCGCAAUGGGCGAAAGCCUGACGGAGCAAGACCGCGUGGGGGAGGAAGGUUUUUUUGGAUCGUAAACCCCUUUUGUCAAGGAAGAAGCUCUGACGGUACUUGACGAAUAAGCCUCGGCUAACUCCGUGCCAGCCGCCGCGGUAA